rfam:Trichobilharzia regenti genome assembly, scaffold: TRE_scaffold0039543
AUCCAGAUGACCAGUCCCAAAUAGGACGAAAUGCGCAUCCUGGAU